rfam:Gossypium raimondii Chr06_contig_1280, whole genome shotgun sequence.
UUUCUGAAAUGCGUUGAGGUGCAGCAGUUGACUAGACAUCUAGGGGUAAAGCACUGUUUUGGUGUGGGCUGCGAGAGUGGUACCAAAUCGAGGCAAACUUUGAAUACUAGAUAUGACCUCAAAAUAACAGGGGUCAAGGUCGGCCAGUGAGACGAUGGGGGAUAAGCUUCAUCGUCGAGAGGGAAACAACCCAAAUCAUCAGCUAAGGCCCUUAAAUGAUCGCUCAGUGAUAAAGGAGGUGGAGAUGGAGAGGCAGCCAAGAGGAUUGCCUAGAAGCAGCCACUCAAUCAGUGCGUAAUAGCUCACUAAUUGAGUGCUCUUACACCGAAGAUGAACGGGGAUAAGAUAUGUUAGCCAAUUAAUGUGAAUUACAAGGUUUAACUGCACUUAAAAAAAA